GACGAACGCUGGCGGCGUGCCUAAUACAUGCAAGUCGAGCGAAUCAUUAGGAGCUUGCUCCUGAUGGUUAGCGGCGGACGGGUGAGUAACACGUGGGCAACCUGCCUGUAAGACUGGGAUAACACCGGGAAACCGGUGCUAAUACCGGAUAAUUCUUUCCCUCACAUGAGGGAAAGCUGAAAGUCGGUUUCGGCUGACACUUACAGAUGGGGCGGCGGCGCAUUAGCUAGUUGGUGAGGUAACGGCUCACCAAGGCGACGAUGCGUAGCCGACCUGAGAGGGUGAUCGGCCACACUGGGACUGAGACACGGCCCAGACUCCUACGGGAGGCAGCAGUAGGGAAUCUUCCGCAAUGGACGAAAGUCUGACGGAGCAACGCCGCGUGAGUGAUGAAGGCCUUCGGGUCGUAAAACUCUGUUGUUAGGGAAGAACAAGUAUCGGAGUAACUGCCGGUACCUUGACGGUACCUAACCAGGAAGCCACGGCUAACUACGUGCCAGCAGCCGCGGUAAAAC
rnacentral:rRNA from 1 species